ACCAAGUGUCAACAAAUCAUUUUCAAGUCUUUGAUGUUAAAGUGGCAUGUGGGUCUGUCCAAAAAUAUUUUCCUUCUGAAAAAUUCUAACACAAUUUUUCUUCCUCAAAUGCUUAUUUAUACCCCACACACACCGCUUCAUUUCAAACCACAACACAACCUCUCCCCAAUAAUCUAUUCUCAACUCAAGACUUAGUUUGAAACUUAGAACCUCUUUGACUUCAAACAUCAUCACUUGUUUGUUUUCUCAUUACUUUUUAUAACUCUUAUAAGCUAUAAGUGUUGUAUGUGCUUUUCUUGUGUUACAUAUUUGUGCCAAAACUUGGAGUUUAAUUUCUUGGAUUACAGCAUACACACUAAUUAGUGUGUUGAUUGAGUCUUCAUUUUGAAGCUUAAUUCUAACUUGGGUUGGUUUUGGUUUGUCAUAUAAUUAUAUAAGAUGACUAUGGAAAAAGGUGGCAACAAUAAUCAUCAACACCAACCAUUUGAAGUUUCCAUUGAUACUGCUGG
rnacentral:lncRNA from 1 species